rnacentral:misc_RNA from 1 species
CCGCACUCUGGUAUAAUAUCGAUUUCAGCACCACGAAAAACGUACGGAAACAAAUUUUUUCGAAGCAAAAUGAAAUUCGCAAUAGCUGCUUCGGCAUUGCUGAAUCUUUUGCUGGUAAUUCGCGUUGCCGAGAUAUCCGCAGAUUCGCCACCGGCACCGCGAUUCACCUGUCCCGCACAUCAGGUACCCGUUUGCGUCGGUGGUGACGGUGAUUACGUGACGACUUUGAGGAACGAGUGCAAGUUCGCUGAGUUUGCGGCGGAGAGUGACGGAAUGGUGAACCGCAUCCUUCAUCGUGGCGUGUGCAACCGAUUCGGAGAUCAACAGAAGUGGUCUGGUUGGGAACGAGACGAAGAUGACAUCCCAGCAAACUACGAGGAAUACAAACUGAAAAAUCCACAUUCAAAAUACUAAAUUUUCAAAUUUUUUCAUGUUCACAUCUGGAGACAACGUAACGUAUGAAACCCUCGGACUCUCACGUGUACACAACCGCGCUCGUAGCCGCCAAUGAUUUACGCUUUUGUCUCGUUAUUGACCUUUACUUUGUGCAUUGUCGUUGCACGCACGAAUGCCCUACAAUUCCCACCUCGUGGUGUUUUGACAACAAAAGCGUGACUCACUCAACCGAGAAUAUCGUAUGGUAACGAUUUACGAGAUCGAUCGGAUCAACAUCUGCGCACGAACAAAUACCGCGAUCGAAAGAAUUAGUAGCGAUUCCAAGAAUCUCCUACGAACCGCGUAAGGUUGUAACAAAAAAUGCAACCGGGUGAGUCAUAUUCAUGUAGAUGACUAAUUUCGCAUUCUAACUGCUAUACUCGUUCGUUGCUAUAGAUUUAAGAAACGCAGAAAGUGAUUUUCUGCAACGUACACGUUGAGGUGUUUUAUCUUUGGAAGAUAUAUUUUUUCUUCUCUUUCCCUAUCCGAAAAUUAUUUGAAGUCCAGCGAUUGGUCGAACGCUCAUAAAAGUAUAAGCUCAUUCUAUUUGCAAAUUGUUUAGCCAAACUCCGAUAUCCAAUCUAUGCAAGAGGAAUAGAGAUAUUCUUCUUUUUCUACGAAGUAUCAGAUUUUCGAGUGGAAAAAGAGAAAAAAUAAUAUCGCCUAAAGACCUACAAUAUCAUUUGAUAAUUUAUCGCUACCAAAGGUUGGCCGCACGAUCGCCUCGAGGCCGGAUAAACGCGACAAUAACAUCGUUGUUGAAAUUAUAUUUCAUGUAGUCGUUGGACUGGUUUGCUCUGGGCUGACCGAGAUCUCUGAGGGCUCCACCAUAAUGUUAACAUCCGGCAGCUCAAAGUCUACGAUGUUUAGUGUCCACAGUUCUGUCACGACGACAUAACACUAGAAAAUCUCAAGAUUCGCAGGUACUGACUUUGUGUAAUAAUCCCAUAAUUUUUUCCAUCCGCGGUGAUGGACUAGGAACAAAGAAUCCGAAAACCGUGACAGAAUCGUGACUUCCGGUGUGAUUUGCAAAUGCAAGCAACGAAAGGUAAUUUGCAUUGAAAUCUUCACGGAGUGUAGAAUUUUGUGAAUCAAGUUAGAAAAAGUUAUAAAUCAAUUGGGUAAGGAAGAGUCGAUCAGAAUUCAGUUGCUCCUCAAUCUAAUCGGCAGCGAAAUUAAACGGUGUAAUUUUGGUGAUCUGAUUUUAGCUGAAAUGAAGAAAAGGUUAGCAAUA